CAAGGAUCAAUUGGAGGGCAAGUCUGGUGCCAGCAGCCGCGGUAAUUCCAGCUCCAAUAGCGUAUAUUAUAGUUGUUGCAGUUAAAAAGUUCGUAGUUGGAUUUUAAGAAGAGGAAAUAAUGGUGAUUGGGAAAAGCAAAAACUUUUCUCAGUUAUCGUCCUUUUCAACCAGAAAUGGUUUCGGGGAACAGUGACAGCAAUGUUAUUGUCUCUCCGCUUUUACUUGACUAAUUCCAAGUGUUCAAAGCAGGCCACAUUAGUUGUGCCAGUUUUUGAAGGUUACAGCAUGGUAUAAUAGAAUAUGUUAUACGUGACAUAUUGUUUUGGUUAUUUACAUAUGGAUCUCACGUGAAAAUGAUAAAUAGAGAUAGUUGGGGGUAUUCAUAUUUGAUUGUCAGAGGUGAAAUUCUUGGAUUUUUCAAAGAUGAACUAGUGCGAAAGCAUUUAUCAAGGAUGUUUUCAUUGAUCAAGACGAAAGAAAAGGGAUUGAAGACGAUCAGAUA
rnacentral:rRNA from 1 species